rnacentral:rRNA from 16 species
CCUAGUGGUGAUAGCGGAGGGGAAACACCCGUUCCCAUCCCGAACACGGAAGUUAAGCCCUCCAGCGCCGAUGGUAGUUGGGGCCAGCGCCCCUGCAAGAGUAGGCCGCUGCUAGGC